AAAAUCUAAAUGCGUUUCAGAUGUUACCUCAUUUUCAUUCGCCAUGAAGCAGAAGUUGGCCUUUUCCUCUUGUUCCUCAUCCGAUGAUGAUGAUGAUGAAUCGGAGUCCGACAAAGUGGAGACGAGGACUUUCUUUUUCUUAUGUUUGCUGUCCUUCUUAAGCAAGAGACAGUCAACUCUAAAAUGUCCCGGCUUCUUGCAUUUAUAGCAUCCGAUUCCUUCAUUUUCCCUUUCCUUACCUUUAUCCUUGUUGUAGGAACUUAAGGGACCUCUCCUCUGAUGAAAGGACUUCUUCCGGUUGAUGAAUUUUCUGAACUUUC
rnacentral:lncRNA from 1 species